rnacentral:rRNA from 1 species
UACGUAGGGCGCAAGCGUUGUCCGGAUUUAUUGGGCGUAAAGAGCUCGUAGGCGGUUUGUCGCGUCGGAUGUGAAAACCCGGAACUCAACUCCGGGCCUGCAUUCGAUACGGGCAGACUUGAGUACUGCAGGGGAGACUGGAAUUCCUGGUGUAGCGGUGGAAUGCGCAGAUAUCAGGAGGAACACCGGUGGCGAAGGCGGGUCUCUGGGCCGAUACUGACGCUGAGGAGCGAAAGCGUGGGGAGCGAACAGG